rnacentral:rRNA from 1 species
UACGUAAAAGACUAGUGUUAUUCAUCUUUAGUAGGUUUAAAGGGUACCUAGACGGUAUAAUUAGUCUUAAACAAGAAACGGUUAUGCUAGAGUUAUAUAUGAGGAGGUGAGUAUUUAUGGAGUAGAGUUGAAAUUCUUUGAUACCAUGACGACUGGUAACGGCGAAAGCAACCUUUUAUCUAAUAACUGACGUUGAGGGACGAAGGCUCGGGUAACGAACAGG